GUUGGCCUCGGAUCAGGUGGGGAUACCCGCUGAACUUAAGCAUAUCAAUAAGCGGAGGAAAAGAAACCAACAGGGAUUGCCUCAGUAACGGCGAGUGAAGCGGCAACAGCUCAAAUUUGAAAUCUGGCUCACGCCCGAGUUGUAAUUUGUAGAGGAUGUUUCGGGUGAAGCCACGGUCCAAGUCCCUUGGAACAGGACGUCAUAGAGGGUGAGAACCCCGUACCUGGCCGUCGGUGCCCCCCGCUGUGAAACUCCUUCGACGAGUCGAGUUGUUUGGGAAUGCAGCUCUAAAUUGGUGGUAAAUUCCAUCUAAAGCUAAAUACCGGCCAGAGACCGAUAGCGCACAAGUAGAGUGAUCGAAAGAUGAAAAGCACUUUGAAAAGAGAGUUAAAAAGUACGUGAAAUUGUUGAAAGGGAAGCGCUUGCGGCCAGACUUGCCCGCGGUUGCUCAGCCCGCCUUUUGGCGGGUGCACUCUUCCGCGGUCAGGCCAGCAUCGGUUUGGGCGGUCGGAUAAAGGCGCUGGGAACGUGGCCUCCCCUCGGGGAGGUGUUAUAGCCCGGCGUGCAAUGCGACCAGCCCGGACCGAGGUUCGCGCUUUGCUAGGAUGCUGGCGUAAUGGCCGUAAGCGGCCCGUCUUGAAACACGGACCAAGGAGUCUAACAUCUAUGCGAGUGUUUGGGUGUCAAACCCGUGCGCGUAAUGAAAGUGAACGGAGGUGGGAACCGCAAGGUGCACCAUCGACCGAUCCUGAUGUCUUCGGAAGGAUUUGAGUAAGAGCAUAGCUGUUGGGACCCGAAAGAUGGUGAACUAUGCGUGAAUAGGGUGAAGCCAGAGGAAACUCUGGUGGAGGCUCGCAGCGGUUCUGACGUGCAAAUCGAUCGUCAAAUUUGCGUAUAGGGGCGAAAGACUAAUCGAACCAUU
rnacentral:rRNA from 1 species